rnacentral:rRNA from 1 species
ACGUAGGGGGCAAGCGUUGUCCGGAAUGAUUGGGCGUAAAGGGCACGUAGGCGGCCUGGUAAGUCUGGAGUGAAAGUCCUGCUUUUAAGGUGGGAAUUGCUUUGGAUACUGUCGGGCUUGAGUGCAGGAGAGGUAAGUGGAAUUCCCGGUGUAGCGGUGAAAUGCGUAGAGAUCGGGAGGAACGCCAGAGGGGAAGGCGAGUUACUGGGCUGAAACUGACGAUGAGGCGCGAAAGUGUCGAGAACAAGGAG